rnacentral:tRNA from 1 species
GCCUCUGUGGCUUAGCGGUAUAGCAACGUUCUCAUCUUUUAAUAUGGGGAUGCUAAAGAUUCGUAAUCUGUAGAUCGGGGGUUCAAUUCCCCCCAGGGGCU